CCCAUGUUGCAGUGACAUUGAAUGUACUUAACCUUGCUCAAGGACCAAGGCAGAUUAGGGUGUUCCCGGUUUUAAGAUAAUCUUGUUUAGGGCGUUCCCAGUUUAGGUUCCAGGUUUAAGGUUUAAGAUUAUUCCUGCUGGGAAUAGGGCGUAUCCUGCUGCCUGAGUUCCCCUUGAGUUCUCAUGGGAUUUAGACAGUAUAUUUUGGAGAUAGAAGCCCAGUGGAGGUGAAUUUGGGCAGAGAACGUGGAUUUGGGCAGAGAACGUGGAUUUCCCCAGAACGUGAUUGUAGACGGCUGGUGUGAGUUCGGGAAUAAAGAGUUGCUGUUUGAAUCUACAAGCUGUGUGGUGGCUCGUGAUUGUGUGCCCAGCCAGACUGCGGCAUUUGUGCCCAGCCAGACUGUGGCAUUUGGUGGCCCGUACGGGGAACUUCUGAAGCUUAGAGGUAAGUGAAAUUUCUCACCCUUGAGGAAGAGAGAAAGAAUGGGUCACCAAUUCAAAAAACAAUGUGUUAUUGUUUUGAUUUAUUUUGUUUUUAUUUCAAGUUGCCUGUUCCUAGAACUUUCUCAGGCAAACUGGGGAAAAUGGGUGACUCAAGGUUUGAAUUUGUUCGCCUCCGAGCAAGAGAAAUUGUUAGAGGAAGGAGGCACCCCAGUGAGACCAAGAACAAUUAGGGCAUAUGUUGAUACAAUACAAAAAUGUAGCCAAUGGCUUUUUAAAGACAAGUUAUUAAGUAUAUCAAUGGGACCAUCAUGGUAUCCUGUAGAAAGAUUUUUCUUCAACAAGAAAGAGAGGGCUAGUUCUGUUUGCUACACUUGUCUAAGAUCUUGGUUUCUACAAAGUUCUGAUUAAUUUACAAAGCUAAAAUGUUGAAACAGCAACCACUCUUUACUUAUUAAGUUCCAUAAGGUAAUAUAUUUAAACAUUAUGUGUGUUUUCAUAAAUUGGUAAAUGGAAAAAUGUUUAAUAUUGCUUUGUGUCUGUGUCUUUGCUAAAACAAGGUUACUAAGUGUUAAGAUUCUAUCAUGUGUAAUUUAUAUACAAAGAGUAGAAAAAUUUUCAGUUGGGUUUCAAUUAUAGUAUUAUAGUGUCAUAAGAAACAUGAAAGUCUUUCAUCUUAUUAAAGUGGAGUAAUUUGUCUAAAUCAGAAAUUUUAUAAGAGUUGUUUCAAAAUGUGAAUUUAUAAAAAGGGUUAACAGUUAAAAAAAAGAGAUAGAAAAAGAUUCAAGAUGUGGAAAUAUAUUUUAAUAUAAAAGGUUAAAGGAGAAAGAAAUGUUUCUAGAUGAGAUAAUCUCUGUGUGGUAAAAUAAAAAGUUGUAAAAUGUCAUUUAAAAAAUUUUUGAGGAAACUAGACUUACUUUAAAAGCUUGAGAAAGGAAUAAAGAAGAAAAAGGUAUUUGUACAUGGCAGAUUGAGACAAAGCUUCUCAAUGGAGUUAAAAAAAAAAAGCCUUUGGUUGAAGGGCAGCCAUGUAAACUAACAUUAAAUCGAUUUAAACAGAAUCUAAGCCUCGUUUAAAAGAGUGAAGUUGUAGGUGGUGAAAAAGUACAUUUAAAAGUACAGUAUAGAUGAUAAUUAAAAGGUUAAAUUGAAGGUGGUCGAGAUACCUUCAUGGCGGAAAAAAGAUUGCUUUAUUGCAUCAUUCGAAGCCUAGUUAAUCUUAAAGGCAUUACUAAAAAAAAUGGGAAGAUAAUAGGAUAAAGAUAUUUAGAUAAAGAAGAUUAAAAAUUUAAAGUGAAAAACUUUAAAGACAGAAGUAUAGAAAGUUAAAAAGAAUAAAGAUAAAGAAGAUGUAGGAAGAUAAAAAAAUGUAGGAAGACAAAAGUUUUAAACCCACAAAAUAGAAAAAAAAAAACUAGGAGAAAAAUAAGCAACUAAGGGUAAAAAUACAAACCUUAGGGAAAAAAACUAGAAGAUAGAAAUAAGAUAGAAAAUGGUUGAAAAUGUCAAGUAAGGUAUUACACAGAUAGAAAAUGCAAAAAGCUAAGACAACUAUUAGAUACAGACAUAUACUUAUUAAAGCAAAAAGAGGGAGUUGGAAGGGGGUACAUAUCCCCCAAAGACAAACUUAAAAUAAUGCUUUUUACUCUAAACUUUUUAAAUUUGGAUUCAUCAGGACUUAGUGCUGCGGAAAGGCAUAUGUAUCCAAAAAAUGUACAUAAGCCUAAAGUACUUUGGAAAGAUAUUCUAACAGGACAAUGGAAAGGUCCUGACCCAGUGAUUGUCUGGAGUGGGGGGUCUGUUUGUGUUUUUCCACAGGGAGAACAGCAGCCCAUUUGGAUUCCAGAGAGAUUAACUAAAACAGUUUCUACAGAUCGAAAAGAAGAUGAUUUGACUCAAAUCCAUAACAGCUGAUAUCCAGAACUCCAGCUUGGCCAUUCUUACAUCUGUGACAGUGAUUAACCAGGAUGCUUUUUUUCAAUAGCUAUUUUAUUAUUGCAUUUUUCCACAUCAUAAGGUUCUAUUUUUAUUUUUUGAGCUCAUACAAACCUAGGUUAAUGUUUUUCUGAUCAGUUUUAUUUUUUGACUGUGGAGUUUUUAAACAUUGCAAUGGAGAUUUCACCUAGGAUAAUGUCUCUUUAGCAUCAUUGCCAGAAUUCCUAUCUCCAUCUCAGUGCUGGUGAAGAACUCAACAAGUAAUGCUCAAUCAAAGAGUCAACUUACUUUGGGAGGAAACGGAUUUUGGGAGGAAAUGGACAUAUUGAUAGAUUCCUCUGCUUUGAACUGCUUGCAGAACUUGCCUGGACUAUGUAACUAUCGUUUGGUGCAGCGAAUUGUGGUAAUGCUGGCAUAUCUUUGCUGAUGGUGUCACCAGUGAUGCAAUUUUUCCCAAGGAGCCGUCAAUUGGCUUGGUGUCGUGGCAUUUCUGUAUCCUCCUCCCUUCUGCUAGUGAUGGUCUAAAAUUUGGGGGCCAAUGGCUUAUGCUG